rfam:Pseudohongiella spirulinae strain KCTC 32221, complete genome.
GGGGCUGAUUUGGAUUCGACGCCGGUAUCAAACUCCAAGGUGCAUGCCGAGAGGGUAUAGACUCUCGUAAAUCAAUCUAUGCAACUUAUAUAGUUGCCAACGACGAAAACUACGCUCUCGCAGCCUAAAUAGCGCCGCGAGCGAUUGCCACCGGGAUGCCUGUAAACCAGUGAUCGCAAUCGUCAUAUAGAACAGGAUCGCUGUGGAGUGCGCCUGGCGCAAAGCAGCUAAAACUUACCGGGCUCGCCCAAAUCGCCCUGCCCGUCGGGCCGACACGGGUUAACUUAAUAGACGACGCUAAGCAUGUAGAUCCUGGGACAGCGGACUGACGGACGCGGGUUCAACUCCCGCCAGCUCCACCA